rnacentral:rRNA from 1 species
CCUACGGGUGGCAGCAGUGGGGAAUCUUGCACAAUGGGGGAAACCCUGAUGCAGCGACGCCGCGUGAGUGAAGAAGUAUUUCGGUAUGUAAAGCUCUAUCAGCAGGAACGAGACAAGACGGUAGCUGACUAAGAAGCCCCGGCUAACUACGUGCCAGCAGCCGCGGUAAUACGUAGGGGGCAAGCGUUAUCCGGAAUCACUGGGUGGAAAGGGAGCGUAGACGGCUGAGCAAGCCUGAAGUGAAAGGCGGGGGCCCAACCCCCGGACUGCUUUGGGAACUGGACGGCUUGAGUGCAGGAGAGGUAAGUGGAAUUCCAAGUGUAGCGGUGAAAUGCGUAGAUAUUAGGAGGAACACCAGUGGCGAAGGCGGCUUACUGGACUGUAACUGACGUUGAGGCUCGAAAGCGUGGGGAGCAAACAGGAUUAGAUACCCCAGUAGUC